rnacentral:rRNA from 1 species
AUUGAACGCUGGCGGCAGGCUUAACACAUGCAAGUCGAACGGUAACAGGGUGCUUGCACCGCUGACGAGUGGCGAACGGGUGAGUAAUGCGUCGGAAUGUGCCGAGUAGUGGGGGAUAACGCAUCGAAAGGUGUGCUAAUACCGCAUACGUACUGAGGUAGAAAGUGGGGGACCUUCGGGCCUCACGCUAUUCGAGCGGCCGACGUCUGAUUAGCUAGUUGGUGAGGUAAAGGCUCACCAAGGCGACGAUCAGUAGCGGGUCUGAGAGGAUGAUACGCCACACUGGGACUGAGACACGGCCCAGACUCCUACGGGAGGCAGCAGGGGGGAAUUUUGGACAAUGGGCGCAAGCCUGAUCCAGCCAUGCCGCGUGUCUGAAGAAGGCCUUCGGGUUGUAAAGGACUUUUGUCCGGGAGCAAAUGCCUGGUGUUAAUAGCACUGGGAGCUGAGAGUACUGGAAGAAUAAGCACCGGCUAACUACGUGCCAGCCGCCGCCGUAAUAC